rnacentral:snRNA from 1 species
AGCCACGCAGUGAGCACAAAGCGAACUAUUCUUUCGCCUUUUACUAAAGAAUACCGUGUGUGCGUUGCAAAUAGUGGCAUACGCCAAUUUUUGGAGGGGUUCUCUUCAUUGAAAGUC